UUUGUCAGUGAUGUUUUUCCACAGUAUUAAUGAGUUUAACGACCAUGAGUCCACAUCAUGCACUUCCAGCUGAGACAAA